ACAUCCCUGCUUUGCUCGUGAUGCCACCUUGUUCUUGAACCAACACUCAUAGCGGGGUGUCGUGAUGACCGGCGACGCCACACCUCCUUGCCGCGAGGCUCGCGAGGAAGGCAGACCCGGCUAGAGCGGCACCCACCUGGUCACCCAGGGCUCAAAGAACACGGAGCACACGGCAGGGCGGGGACCCU
rnacentral:other from 1 species